rnacentral:tRNA from 1 species
UUCAAUCUCGACAAUUGAAUAUGAAUAGUCUAUUAUAAA